GAUGAACGCUGGCGGCGUGCCUAAUACAUGCCAGUCGAGCGAACAGACGAGGAGCUUGCUCCUCUGACGUUAGCGGCGGACGGGUGAGUAACACGUGGAUAACCUACCUAUAAGACUGGGAUAACUUCGGGAAACCGGAGCUAAUACCGGAUAAUAUAUUGAACCGCAUGGUUCAAUAGUGAAAGACGGUUUUGCUGUCACUUAUAGAUGGAUCCGCGCCGCAUUAGCUAGUUGGUAAGGUAACGGCUACCAAGGCAACGAUGCGUAGCCGACCUGAGAGGGUGAUCGGCCACACUGGAACUGAGACACGGUCCAGACUCCUACGGGAGGCAGCAGUAGGGAAUCUUCCGCAAUGGGCGAAAGCUUGACGGAGCAACGCCGCGUGAGUGAUGAAGGUCUUCGGAUCGUAAAACUCUGUUAUUAGGGAAGAACAAAUGUGUAAGUAACUAUGCACGUCUUGACGGUACCUAAUCAGAAAGCCACGGCUAACUACGUG
rnacentral:rRNA from 1 species